rnacentral:rRNA from 1 species
ACGGAGGGUGCAAGCGUUAAUCGGAAUCACUGGGCGUAAAGCGCUCGUAGGCUGUUUGGUAAGUCAGGCGUGAAAGCCCGCGGCUUAACCGCGGAACUGCGUUUGAUACUGCCAGACUUGAGUGUCGGAGAGGGUGGCGGAAUUCCGGGUGUAGGAGUGAAAUCCGUAGAUAUCCGGAGGAACACCAGUGGCGAAGGCGGCCACCUGGACGACAACUGACGCUGAGGAGCGAAAGCGUGGGUAGCAAACAG